rnacentral:ncRNA from 10 species
GUACUGAAAUGCAUGGUGGGAAAUCAGUGUGAAAUUCAUUGGCUGUUCCUGCAACUGUUAUAGUCAAAGCGCCACCCAGUACAGCCCGUUGUUGAACGAAGGUCAGGAAAAAUCUAGUUCUGCAAUUUUUAA